rnacentral:rRNA from 1 species
UACGGGGGGGCAAGCGUUGUUCGGAAUUACUGGGCGUAAAGGGCUCGUAGGCGGCCAACUAAGUCAGACGUGAAAUCCCUGGGCUUAACCCAGGAACUGCGUCCGAUACUGGAAGGCUUGAAUCCGGGAGAGGGAUGCGGAAUCCAGGUGUAGCGGUGAAAUGCGUAGAUAUGCGGAGGAACACCGAUGGCGAAGGCAAUCCCCUGGGCCUGCACUGACGCUCAUGCACGAAAGCGUGGGGAGCAAACAGG